AUACAGAAUUUUGACCAGAUGGAAGCUUUGCCUGAGUGGUUGGGCAACCUUUCUUCUGUUCGAAGCUUGCAUCUUUGGAAAUGCAUGAACCUGAUGUAUCUGCCAACAGCGGAAGCGAUGCAACACCUCACCGAAUUAAAUAUUUAUGAUUGCCCCAAAUUAAAGGAAAGAUGUGUGAAGGGAAGCGGCGCAGAGUGGCUCAAAAUUGCCCAUACUCCAGAUAUCUUUCUCCCCUGAAAACGGAUUAAAGGGUAGUUGUGCAUAUUGGUCCAAGACAGAUCAGAGUGGGAAAAAAGAGAGGAAAGUUCUCCUAUUCAAGAGCUGCAAACGAUCAAAAUUCAAGGGCCGCUCACCAAAUUAGAGAAGUUGAAGAUAUUUUUGGUCAAAGUAAUACAAAAACAAUGUGAGGAUUCUACGCCAUUCUAAGCUCUGAUUUUCAAUCAGCCAAACUUUGACACCCAAGAACUUUCUUAGUUGGAGGGGUCAUAUUUUGAGGAUCUUUACUCUGCACAGGUGAGGCGUCAAUGGUGGCUUCUGAUUUGG